CUGAGAUCACCCUGGAGGAGAACUCCAAGGGUGGGCGGCUAAUGAGGGUUGGAGAAAGGUGGACCCAUGGGCGGUGGCUGCCCACGGCCUUUGAAGUUUCAUUUGCAGUGUUUUAUGAGCCCAUGCUGGAGUAAAUUGUACCUGCAGGCUGCUGCACUUUGCCCUCCCCAGCAAAAGGAGGUGGAAUUCACACUAGUAAUGUCUGGCUGGAGAACACCCUAGAUGAUGAAUCCAGUGAGGGUCAACAGCAGAGAGGAGCUGCCCAGCAGAGAGGAGCUGCCCACCACACCCUCCACCCCAUCUUCCUGAGCCUUCUGUGGAAGCACUGGUUUGCUAGCCUCUGAAGGGCCAUGGGCCCAGCACCAGGUGCCCUCAGCUCUGAGGCCAGGCCGUUACCUGCAUUCAAGAUGGACACUGGCUAGAGAAAGCAUGUCCACAGGGCUGGUCAGUAGGAAAGGGGUUGUGUUUCUGGAAGGGUGCAUCUAACCCAGGGGUUGGUGAGCAUUUUCCUAACCCAGGGCCAGGUAGUAAACAUUUUUGGCUUUGCCAGUCAUGCAGUCUCUGUCACAGCCACUGCACUCUACUACUUUAGCACAAAAGCAGCCAUAGGCAAUACAUUUAAAAAGACGAGCGUGACUGCGUUCCAAUAAAAUUU
rnacentral:lncRNA from 10 species